rnacentral:lncRNA from 10 species
UGCUAGCGCAGAAGCAGAGAAGUAUAUGACAAGAUGAAAAGGAGUUCAAGGUCAUCUAUAGUUCCACAUGCCUGCCUUAUCAGUGAGAAAGCAGAGUUCCAGGUCCAGGGAGGAAAAAUUAUGUGGAUGAUGACAUGUUUUUCCAAGUCAUUAACCUGGGCACAGCUUUGGGGCCAAAUGAGAAGCUACAUCCAAACCAUUUAAGAGUCUGGGUGAUUGGUGGGACUGACAAAGGAAAGACCCUCUGUCAUUGCCCACGGUGAGAGCAUUUGGGGAGUGUGAUUGUCUGUGACGAUGCACGGUUCAAUGAUUCCAUUGUUUCACGAAGGCCUGGUUUCACUGAUACCAAGGGAAAAAGGUGGGCUGCGCCCACACGGGCAAUUAAGGUGAUGUUGUCAAAGGCAUUUAGAGUGAUUUUUUUCCCUUAGAACUCUAUUCUGUCACUUUUUGGCAUUACAAGGUCUUUUGUAUUACAUUAUGGAAAAAAAUAAGCAAAAAGAAGAAAAUAAAUCACUUCAUCAGGACUCUUUUUCAAUUGCAAGGGAUAGAAACCCAACUCAAAACUAGCUGACGCUUAGGUGUCAAGUAAUGGACUGGUCAAGGUAAAAACGGAGCUCCCUUCAGGUAGGCUGGAUCCAGGCUGCCCACAGCAACAGGAUCCUCUCUUGGAGUCUCGGCCUCUGUGGGUCCAUUUGUUGCAUGUUUUCAGACUCUUGUGUUGUAGGUGUCUUGUGACUCAAAGAUCUGGGUUCCCAUGCUCAUAGAUUGUAAUCCAAGGGGAAAUAGUAUAUCUCUACUUCAGGUUGGGAGGUUUGGGGAAAGGAGGCUGAGAUGGGGGCUUUGAUGCAGGUAGAUUAUUUGGGAGUCCCAAUGAGGUAGUUAGGGAAACAAGAAGAGUCAAUACAGAGCGCAUUAAUGAGUAGGUUACCUCUGUGGACAAUUGGAUUCAGGCUCACCGGGGUCCCUCUAGGGUACCACGUGGGACACAUGUCAAAGUUUUCCCUCCAGGGGACAGGGAAGCUAGAAGGUGAUUUGUCCACAGACUCCCACCCCUUAUUGGCUGAGGAUUGUUCCUGAGAGUAUUAAAUCCUCAGCACUUGUGGGCACUCUACAGUUGGGCUGAGCAAAUUGCUACAGCACUGGAAAAAGGCGUCAGUAGAGAAACAGAGAGACGUGAUGGCUUGAAGUGGGGAGCUGUCAGCAUGCCACAAAUUGUCCAAUACGACUGCAGGUGGACUUGCAGAUGGGCCAAAGCAAUAUGGGCUGGGACAUCAAAAGCAGCUGCUAUGAUCACCUUUACUUUCUUCCCCACUCCUUAGGCCAAUCGCUCAGUACUUUGAUAAGACCAAAGUUGGCCACAUGUCUGCCUCUCAAACGUGGUGGGCAGGCAGCAUGCUGUGAAUGGAAGCUUCAUCAAAAUCACACCU